CAACCCUCCAUCCCCACCACGGGCAUAAUUGCUGGCCUGGUUCUCCUUGGAGCUGUGCUCACUGGAGCUUCGGUGGCUGCAGCUGUGAUGUGGAGGAAGAAGCACUCAGGUGGACAAGGAGGAAGCUAUGCUCAGGCUGCAGUGAGAGACAGUCUUGUGUUGGCCUGAGUGUUACAGGAUUUCUUUUUGCCCACGUUUUGUGGCUUUAUGAUUCCCCGGUUUAAACCACUUCACACCUGCGAGAAUGGCCCAUAUCCCAAAGACCAGAAACAAGUGCUGGCAAGGAUAUGGAAAAAAGGGGACAGUCCUGCAUUGUUUUUGGAUAAAGACUGAGCCAGCCCUUCUGGAAACAGUACUGAGGUUUCUUAAAAGAGUAAAUGUGGUUCUGCCAUUUGGACCCAGCAAUUCUACCCUGAGGAUCUACUCACAGAGGAUAAAUACUCUCCUGUGAAGGGACCUGCACUCCCGUCACCACUGCAGCACUAUUUACAGUAGCCAAGCUAUGGGAACCACCUGAAUGCCCCAGACAGGUGACAAAUCAAGAAGAAGCCGGGAUUACAUGUAUACAUGUAUGUACAUAUACAGGUGAUGUGUGUCCCUGUGUAAUGAAGUAGCAUCCACGGUCAGAAAACAUAACUCAUGCCCCUGCAGCAACAUGGAUGGAAAAGGGAAAAGUCAGAAGGAAAAAAAAGAAAUACUUAUAUAAGGGUGUAGAGAAAGCAGAUGAAGGGCCAGAUUGAGCCAAACUUCCAAACUAACCCUUGAGCCCCGCCAGGCUGUGCCUAUUGCUGACCAGGGCUGCAGACCAGCCCAGGCUUCCUGGCCUGGCAGCGCUGGGUGGUGGACGGACCCUCUCUAGUUUGGCAUCAAACUUAUUUGAUGACAAAGCCUGACUCCAGCUGGUUGAGUCCCCCAUUGUUUCUUGCUGCACCUAAACCACCACUGGGUCCCCAGCCUCUGCUGUUUGCUGGGUCUAAGAUGGAUCUUGUACUUGAUGCUGCAGAUUAUGACUUUUUCACACCACUUAUAUAUUCACCACAUGGCCAGAAAGUGACAUCUUCUGAACUAAUUCUCCUGAUAGUAACAAAUCUUGGUGCUUUUAUCCUUUAUUUUCUCUUGGCAACACUGAGUUAUGAUUUAUCUAUAAUUCCCUAA